UACGAAGGGGCUAGCGUUGUUCGGAAUCACUGGGCGUAAAGGGCGCGUAGGCGGCUUUGGUAAGUCGGGGGUGAAAGGCCUGUGGCUCAACCACAGAAUUGCCUUCGAUACUGCAUGGCUUGAGACCGGAAGAGGUAAGUGGAACUGCGAGUGUAGAGGUGAAAUUCGUAGAUAUUCGCAAGAACACCAGUGGCGAAGGCGGCUUACCUGGUCCGGUUCUGACGCUGAGGCGCGAAAGCGUGGGAGCAAACAGG
rnacentral:rRNA from 1 species